GCCCUGAUAGCUCAGUCGGUAGAGCAGAGGACUGAAAAUCCUCGUGUCGGUGGUUCGAUUCCGCCUCAGGGCA
rnacentral:tRNA from 1 species